GUUUAAAGCGAAAUGGCAGCUCACGCGCGCACUGUACGAAAAUGACGCCGUUACCUGCAUGUAAUCAGUCAAUCAGCAUGAAAAGCGUUCAUUAGGAAUUCAUUAAGAAGAGAUAAACAGUUGCCGAGCACACAUCAUACAGCACAUGCUCCAUAAAUCCUGGGGCAACUGUCUCUCCCACCUGUUACAUUUCUCUCCUCUUCACUCACCUGUACACAGGCUUAAAAAUGAAAUGUAAAGUUUGAAAAUGUGUUUCACUACAACAGGCCUGGUAAAGUUUCACCCAGCUUCCUGCCCAUCUGGCAUAAUCAGGGAUAAAGAAAAAAAUAAUCACGACUACAAGCUGCACAUAAUCCCUGAUUUAUCAGGGAUGAACAAAACGAAAGCAAAAUGAUAAUUCUGUACUGUACUUGACUUACUGAAUCUCAGUGCAGUCAUAGGAUUUAAAAUCUCUUCAUGUUUGAAGCACAUUGCAACACAGAGGCUGCUGACAGAUGUGCACAGUUAUGUCUUUGUUAGUGUUUGACCACACCAAUGUAUUGAGCUAACCAAGGGAUGGAAUAUUCUCUUCAUUGCCAACUUCAAUACAAAGCUUCUUUAAUUGUACAAGUAGACAUGAUGAUGAUUCAUACCCAGGAGUAAUAAUGAUUAUUAAAGAUGUACUCUGUAAGACCAUAAAUGGCAGAUCAAUUACAUGUGGUAUACAUCUGCUGUCCCUCUUUUGGUCCAUCAAUGACAAAUACUCUCCAGAUGAGAACACGUUUUGCUUUCACUGUUCCUCGCCCUUUUACACAAUAGGCAGAAGAGGUAGAUGUGGACCUAACAGUUGACUUUUGAGCUCCUGCAUUGAAUAGGCUCUUUUUACACUCAUAUAAUCCCAGUCAUGCCCUGGGACUCGGGGCCCUGCCUCCAUGACCUCUGACCUCUACCUCUGACCUUGGCUAGAUUUCCUCCUGUACAAAACCCCCUUCCUUGUGACCAGUAAAAGAUGCCUUUUCCAAGCUGUUAAGCACAUACACUUAAAAGCUACCUUUAAAGUUAUUACAUCAGGAAUAUACAGGCUGUUGGGGUUAAUGUUGGACGAAGUGUGUAUGGUGUACGAAGUGUGUAUAGGAAUGACAGCAUUUAGAACAUGGAAUCAUGUAUUAGAAAGAAAGUCAGACUAAACUAAGACAACAACAUUAUGCAAAUCCUCAAGACCUCAAUUUAGAUUUCAUGAUAUGUAUGACAUUUUUUAUAUACAAAACCAUAAUACACUAAAAAUGUUCUUGUAUUUCAA